rnacentral:rRNA from 1 species
GGGAAUCUUCCGCAAUGGACGAAAGUCUGACGGAGCAACGCCGCGUGAGUGAUGAAGGUUUUCGGAUCGUAAAACUCUGUUGUUAGGGAAGAACAAGUACCGUUCGAAUAGGGCGGUACCUUGACGGUACCUAACCAGAAAGCCACGGCUAACUACGUGCCAGCAGCCGCGGUAAUACGUAGGUGGCAAGCGUUGUCCGGAAUUAUUGGGCGUAAAGCGCGCGCAGGCGGUUUCUUAAGUCUGAUGUGAAAGCCCACGGCUCAACCGUGGAGGGUCAUUGGAAACUGGGAGACUUGAGUGCAGAAGAGGAGAGUGGAAUUCCACGUGUAGCGGUGAAAUGCGUAGAGAUGUGGAGGAACACCAGUGGCGAAGGCGACUCUCUGGUCUGUAACUGACGCUGAGGCGCGAAAGCGUGGGGAGCGAACAGGAUUAGAUACCCUGGUAGUCCACGCCGUAAACGAUGAGUGCUAAGUGUUAGAGGGUUUCCGCCCUUUAGUGCUGCAGCUAACGCAUUAAGCACUCCGCCUGGGGAGUACGGCCGCAAGGCUGAAAC